rnacentral:rRNA from 1 species
UCAAGGUCAACUGGAGCUUAAGGUAGCAAUAUCUUAAGUGCGGUGGCGCACGGGUGAGUAACACGUAGGUAAUCUGCCUUUAGGUCUGACAUAAUCCCGCGAAAGCGGGACUAAAAUCAGAUGAUGCAGCGGCUCGACAUCGAGACAGUUGUUAAACCUUCGGGGCCUAAAGAUGAGCCUGCGUCUGAUUAGGUAGUUGGCGGAGUAAAAGCCCACCAAGCCUGCGAUCAGUAGCUGGUCUGAGAGGAUGAUCAGCCACACUGGAACUGAGACACGGUCCAGACUCCUACGGGAGGCAGCAGUAAGGAAUAUUGCUCAAUGGCCGAAAGGCUGAAGCAGCAACGCCGCGUGGAGGAUGAAAUACUUUUGUAUGUAAACUCCUGUAAGAGGGGAAAAAUAUACAGUUUAUACUGUGUUGAUUGUACCCUCAGAGUAAGCACCGGCUAACUACGUGCCAGCAGCCGCGGUAAUACGUAGGGUGCUAGAGUUGUCCGGAUUUACUGGGUGUAAAGGGUGCUCAGGUGGGUUUGUAAGUCAGAGGUGAAGUCCCAAAGCUUAACUUUGGAGCUGCCUUUGAUACUGCAAGUCUGGAGUUUGAGAGAGGGCAAUGGAAUAUCUGGUGUAGCAGUGAAAUGCGUAGAUAUCAGAUAGAACACCAAUAGCGAAGGCAGUUGCCUGGCUCAAAACUGACGCUAAAGCACGAAAGUGUGGGGAGCAAACAGGAUUAGAUACCCUGGUAGUCCACACCCUAAACGAUGAAUACUAGAUGUUGGUCCUUUUUUAGGAUCAGUAUCCAAGCUAACGCAUUAAGUAUUCCACCUGCGAAGUACAAUCGCAAGGUUGAAACUCAAAGGAAUUGACGGGGGCCCGCACAAGCAGUGGAGCAUGUGGUUUAAUUCGACGCAACGC